rnacentral:rRNA from 1 species
GAUGAACGCUGGCGGCGUGCCUAAUACAUGCAAGUCGAGCGAACGGACGAGGAGCUUGCUCCUCUGACGUUAGCGGCGGACGGGUGAGUAACACGUGGAUAACCUACCUAUAAGACUGGGAUAACUUCGGGAAACCGGAGCUAAUACCGGAUAAUAUAUUGAACCGCAUGGUUCAAUAGUGAAAGACGGUUUUGCUGUCACUUAUAGAUGGAUCCGCGCCGCAUUAGCUAGUUGGUAAGGUAACGGCUUACCAAGGCAACGAUGCGUAGCCGACCUGAGAGGGUGAUCGGCCACACUGGAACUGAGACACGGUCCAGACUCCUACGGGAGGCAGCAGUAGGGAAUCUUCCGCAAUGGGCGAAAGCCUGACGGAGCAACGCCGCGUGAGUGAUGAAGGUCUUCGGAUCGUAAAACUCUGUUAUUAGGGAAGAACAAAUGUGUAAGUAGCUAUGCACGUCUUGACGGUACCUAAUCAGAAAGCCACGGCUAACUACGUG